UACAGAGGGUGCGAGCGUUGUCCGGAAUCACUGGGCGUAAAGGGCGCGUAGGCGGCUCAUGAAGGCUGUGGUGAAAGUCCGGGGCUCAACCUCGGAUCGGCCGUGGCGACUCGUGGGCUGGAGCACUGUAGAGGCGGGUGGAAUUCCGGGUGUAGCGGUGGAAUGCGUAGAGAUCGGGAGGAACAUCAGUUGCGAAGGCGGCUCUCUGGACCAGCACUGACACUGAGGCACGAAAGCGUGGGGAGCAAACAGG
rnacentral:rRNA from 1 species